UCUGUUCACACGAUUCAUAGGCUGCCUGGACCCCUGGGACAAUGGCCAGCUCCUGGACAUCACCCUGCAAAGACAUGAGAGAGAUGGAGCGGAGAGAUUCAGAGAGAGGCAGAGGGUAUCAUCUGGGAGAAAGAGUAUAGGAGGCCAAUCCUAGAUAAGUUCCAUGCAGAAAAGCCCAAAAAGGCAAUGACUGCCCCAAGGUCACCCAGAGUGGCAGAAUCAGGACCAGAUCCCAGGCCUUCCAGAAUUCUUUGCCGCCCCUCUGCGCUUUGUGGCAAUGCAUGAGCCCUUCCACGGUGGCUUCCAGAGACAGGGCUCAGCUUUAGAUGCCUUGGCCUUCCAAUGGCAGUGAUGAUGAGAAUUCUCUGGACCUCUAGAAAUGGAGUGGGGAGAAUCCAUUCCUGAGUUCCAGUGGCAUUUACUUUUGCCCACACAUGGUGCUUAGCAUACUCUCCAUUGCACCGUAAUUUAGGGAUGUUGUCUCGUUUCCAGAGCCCACCUGGGAGCUCUUGGGGGUGAUAGAGACUUCAUAUUCUCUUCUUUGUUCUCCUUGUCCAGCAGACUUCUUCAUCCAGAAUACGGGCACCAAAGAUGAUCACUCCAUGGGUGUCCAAUACUGGAUGAGCACUUCGGGGGAGAGGCCGGGUGACUCGCUUCUUGCAGUCAACAAUGAGG